rnacentral:rRNA from 1 species
GUACGGAGGGUGCAAGCGUUAUCCGGAAUCAUUGGGUUUAAAGGGUCCGUAGGCGGGCAAAUAAGUCAGAGGUGAAAUCCCACAGCUCAACUGUGGAACUGCCUUUGAUACUGUUUGUCUUGAGUUAUAGUGAAGUAGAUGGAAUAUGUAGUGUAGCGGUGAAAUGCAUAGAUAUUACAUAGAAUACCGAUUGCGAAGGCAGUCUACUAACUAUUGACUGACGCUAAUGGACGAAAGCGUGGGGAGCGAACAGGAUUAGAAACCCCGGUAGUCC